CUGAGCAUGAAUUGGGGUUGUUGAGUGUCAUGGAUGGGAUUCUUUGUUCAACAGGAAUUUGUGCCUGCACUGGCCUGGCCAGAGACACACUGAGGAUUUUGUGACCUGUUAUAAACACAAGCAUAUACAGGGAUAUACUAUAUUUGAAGGAGUAUAUACUACUCAGGCUCUUGACUGGAGAGAGAGCAUGCUAGGGAAGGAGAGGAGCAGAGGAAGAGGGAGAGAAAGAAUAUUAAGCAGGCUCCAUGUUCAGCAUGAAGCUUGAUGCACGGCUCAUUCCCACAACCCUGAGAUCAUGAUGUGAGUCAAAGUCAAAAGUCAGACACUCAACUGAUUGAGCCACUCAGUCAGAUCUCUCAUGGUGUGCAGAGUGGGUUGCAUUGUGUACUCCCAAAAUUCAUGUCCAUCCGGAACCUCAGAAUAUGACCAUAUUUGGAAAUAGGGUGUUUGAAGAUAUAAUUAAGAUCCACAGAUAGAAAAGAUGGCCAAGGAUUGCCAGCAAUCACCAGAAGCUCUCCUCCAGGA